UCAGGAUGAACGCUAGCGGCAGGCUUAACACAUGCAAGUCGAGGGGCAUCGGGAGUAGCAAUACUGCCGGCGACCGGCGCAAGGGUGCGUAACGCGUGAGCAACAUGCCCGUAUCAGGGGGAUAAUCCAUGGAAACGUGGUCUAAUACCCCAUAGUAAUUAUGUAAGGCAUCUUAUAUAAUUUAAAGCUUUGGUGGAUACGGAUUGGCUCGCGUGACAUUAGCUAGAUGGUAAGGUAACGGCUUACCAUGGCUACGAUGUCUAGGGGUUCUGAGAGGAAGGUCCCCCACACUGGAACUGAGACACGGUCCAGACUCCUACGGGAGGUAGCAGUGAGGAAUAUUGGACAAUGGAUGGAAAUCUGAUCCAGCCAUGCCGCGUGCAAGGAAGACGGCCCUAUGGGUUGUAAACUGCUUUUGUAUGGGAGCAAUAAGGGCUACGUGUAGUCCGAUGAGAGUACCAUACGAAUAAGCACCGGCUAACUCCGUGCCAGCCGCGGC
rnacentral:rRNA from 1 species